UUGUUAAGCGAAGAAGGUACGAAGAUGA
rnacentral:sRNA from 1 species